rnacentral:lncRNA from 1 species
ACAACGAGAAGGGGCGGGGCCGAAGCCGGUUGCCAGGGUGUCGCGGAGCGGCUGGGAAGGAGGGGCUGGGAAUCUUGGAGCCCCUUGGCCCGCGGGGAAAGCGGGUGACCCGCCCUGCAAGUGGGAUGCCCCCUUCGGCCUUCUGGAGCGCAGGUGGGGGCGCGCGCCCAUCGGGGGCUCGCACUGCACGGAGGGUCGCGGUGCCGGGGAGCUGAGGUUGGAGGAUGCAGGGCGGCGGCCCUGGUGCACCGUGGGGGAGUUCGCACGCCGGGCAGCGAUCUUCUGCCGGGACCUGGCGUUCUUCACACACGGCUUAUUCGUGACGGAUCCACAGAGCAAUGCACUCUGAAGCCGGAGGGUAGAAAGUGCUGGAAUGCGCGCCCGGGCCCAGGCUGUCGCGAGCCUUCAGCAAGCCAGUGCACACAGAGAGGGCUGCCCAGAGAUCCCGGUCAGCGCUCGCAGUUCGAGGUGGAACAUGGAGGCUGUCUCCCCGGCAAGGGUGCCCACUGCAAGCACAGGCGUGAGAAAUGGCCCAGAAAAGAGUGGUCAGGGCAAUGUGUUCUUGGCACGCCCAGCAAGACCUGCCAGAGGGACCUACAGACGAGUGUCUCCCAGCUAUCUUACCAGCGGGGACCUUGAGGUCCAAGUAUCCAGUCCGGUUAGAAAUGGCCGCGGAUCCAACAGGUGCUGGUGAGUGGGAGAAUACCCCUGAGGGAGGAAGAACAGAGGCCGGGAGGGAGCUGAGUGGAUGUAGAUGAGAAAUACCUGGACAGCUGCAAGCUGUAGUCAGUGAUGGGCAACUGGAACCAGAGAUUCCAGAGAGAGGGAGGGAGAAAGAGGGAGGAGAAGGGAGAAUGAGAAAGAGAGGGAGAGAGAAUGGGGGGGAGAAAGAGGGAGAAUGGGGGAGAGAGGUAGGAGCAAGUUCUGGACCACGCCAAGGAUGGAGCUGUGGUCCUGGAACCAGAUGUCCAGGGAAUGGGAUGAAGUGACACUGGCUGGGGCCGAGGCUGCAGACUGCUGGUGGGAGCUGGCAGGACAAUGAGGAUUCUGAACCAGGUGCCUGAGCCUUCUGUGGAUAUGGGGAGUGACUUGGAUGUCUAUAAAUUCCAGAAAUGAUAGGAGGGAUAGAUGAUGGAGGGACUGUAUUUUAGACAAUAAACAAAUUUCACUCAGUA